UACGGAGGGGGCUAGCGUUGUUCGGAAUUACUGGGCGUAAAGCGCGCGUAGGUGGUUUGUUAAGUCGGAUGUGAAAUCCCCGGGCUCAACCUGGGAACUGCAUCCGAAACUGGCAAGCUAGAGUAUGGUAGAGGGUAGUGGAAUUUCCUGUGUAGCGGUGAAAUGCGUAGAUAUAGGAAGGAACACCAGUGGCGAAGGCGACUACCUGGACUGAUACUGACACUGAGGUGCGAAAGCGUGGGGAGCAAACAGG
rnacentral:rRNA from 1 species